AACGAACGCUGGCGGCAUGCCUAACACAUGCAAGUCGAACGAACCCUUCGGGGUUAGUGGCGCACGGGUGCGUAACGCGUGGGAAUCUGCCCUUUGCUUCGGAAUAACAGUUAGAAAUGACUGCUAAUACCGGAUGAUGUCUUCGGACCAAAGAUUUAUCGGCAAAGGAUGAGCCCGCGUAGGAUUAGGUAGUUGGUGGGGUAAAGGCCUACCAAGCCGACGAUCCGUAGCUGGCCUGAGAGGAUGAUCAGCCACACUGGGACGGAGACACGGCCCAGACUCCUACGGGAGGCAGCAGUGGGGAAUAUUGGACAAUGGGCGCAAGCCUGAUCCAGCAAUGCCGCGUGAGUGAUGAAGGCCUUCGGGUCGUAAAGCUCUUUUACCAGGGAUGAUAAUGACAGUACCUGGAGAAUAAGCUCCGGCUAACUCCGUGCCAGCAGCCGCGGUAAGAC
rnacentral:rRNA from 1 species